UUUCCUCGACAGCCACUGUGAGGUGAACAGGGACUGGCUCCAGCCUCUGUUGCACAGGGUCAAAGAGGACUACACGCGGGUGGUGUGCCCUGUGAUCGAUAUCAUUAACCUGGACACCUUCACCUACAUCGAGUCUGCCUCGGAGCUCAGAGGGGGGUUUGACUGGAGCCUCCACUUCCAGUGGGAGCAGCUCUCCCCAGAGCAGAAGGCUCGGCGCCUGGACCCCACGGAGCCCAUCAGGACUCCUAUCAUAGCUGGAGGGCUCUUCGUGAUCGACAAAGCUUGGUUUGAUUACCUGGGGAAAUAUGAUAUGGACAUGGACAUCUGGGGUGGGGAGAACUUUGAAAUCUCCUUCCGAGUGUGGAUGUGCGGGGGCAGCCUAGAGAUCGUCCCCUGCAGCCGAGUGGGGCACGUCUUCCGGAAGAAGCACCCCUACAUUUUCCCUGAUGGAAAUGCCAACACGUAUAUAAAGAACACCAAGCGGACAGCUGAAGUGUGGAUGGAUGAAUACAAGCAAUACUAUUACGCUGCCCGGCCAUUCGCCCUGGAGAGGCCCUUCGGGAAGUAUGGGCCUUCACAUACACCCAGCAGAUCCUCCAGGAGGAGCUGUGCCUGUCAGUCAUCACCUUGUUCCCUGGCGCCCCAGUGGUUCUUGUCCUUUGCAAGAAUGGAGAUGACAGACAGCAAUGGACCAAAACUGGUUCCCACAUCGAGCACAUAGCAUCCCACCUCUGCCUCGAUACAGAUAUGUUUGGUGAUGGCACCGAGAAUGGCAAGGAAAUCGUUGUCAACCCAUGUGAGUCCUCACUCAUGAGCCAGCACUGGGACAUGGUGAGCUCUUGAGGACCCCUGCCAGAAGCAGCGAGGGCCAUGGGGUGGUGCUUCCCUGGACCAGAACAGACUGGAAACUGGGCAGCAAGCAGCCCGCAACCACCUCAGACAUCCUGGACUGGGAGGUGGAGGCAGAGCCCCCCAGGACAGGAGCAACUGUCUCAGGGAGGACAGAGGAAAACAUCACAAGCCAAUGGGGCUCAAAGACAAAUCC
rnacentral:sRNA from 1 species